AAUCAUAUUGUUAGGUAUUUUAGUACCAUGGUAGCAUUUACUGGAUAUUGUUUUAUAGUGACAUUAUGCAGGAAAACUCUGUCAUUCAAUAAGGCCCCUUUGUUUCAGUUAUUUUUCUCUUUGACCCAAGAAUUGAUGUGUGAGAAUCACAGGCUGGUACAAGGUUGAAAUACCACAGAGAUCACUCCCUCAGCUACAUUCGUUUCUAAAUCUCUUAGGAGACGCCUGUUGAAGGCCAAAUGGUUUGUUUCAGAAUUCACUAAUGAAAGAACUCUUUAUUUCGUGCCUUGAAAAUAUGUCGCUGAGAUAAUCACAAUUGUAGCUGAACUGAUAAACUACACAAAGGAUGCUUCUUCACCCAAGGGCAGGACGACGCUCCCUUAUCUUGGUCUGUACUGGUUUAAACUGAUAAUCUGCUGUCUCAUGAAUUUUACCCCCUAUAUAAACUGUUGUACUUGUGAAUAAAGUUGAGUCAAUUUGGGAAGACAACCUGAAGCAGUCUCUGUUUUCUUGUUCUCCCAAGCUGCUCCCGAGCUCGUACUAACACGCUGAAUGGCAUGCUUGAAUGUUACUUGAGAAUAUAUUUGACUGUGUUACAGACUAAGGGACAUUCUCUGCUGAUAGACGUCCACGCCUCGAAGGAAGUCGAUCCACGGAUUAGGCCGUGGAAACCGUUUCCUUCACAUAUGACCCCCUGUGAGCAGCACUUUGGCGACAGCGGGAAGGAAAAACCUUUGGAAGAAACCUCCGGCAGAACCAGGCUCAGGGAGGGGCGGGGCCAUCUGCUGAAUUGACAAAGUGAAGAGAUGAGCAAAGCUGUCAUGAAGCGAUCUGAAACAUGUCCCUGUCACGACCUGCGGGAUCAGCAAGGAGCUGGUCAUUAUGUUCGCUCUCUUUCUCGCUCUCCUGUUUUGCUGGGGCGGACAUCAUGGUGGGUUCACGCCCUCGGCCCACGCCUCCCUGUAUUGGAAACACCUGGACCUCAUCAGGACCAGCCGGUAUUGAAGAGGGGAGAGGUCUGCUGUUUGGCGCUGGAUUGUUGUUAAACUCCCGUCAGUUACAAGUUCAGGCCAAAGUUUCUCGUGCCCGUGUGCAGAAUAUUAACGUGCAUUUGUUUGUAUCGAGAUUCCUCGGACCAUCCCGUUGUUCCAGGAGCAGUGUGUGGAAGGAGCGGCUGGUCACAAAGCUGAGAGAGAGGGAGGAGCGUGUGUGUGAUCCUCUUUUCCCCAGAUUCCUGGAGGUCUGCCCCCCUCACGUCUUGUAUAUAGCACUAUCCCCGCACAGCCUGUAAAUACACUCGGUGAAGAGAUUGUAAACAAACUUUCAUUGUUAACUCGCUACUCAGCAGUGGUGUGUCCAGCGGGGUGGCCUGGGGGGGCACAGGCCACCUCCCCAACCAGACUGACCACCCAGGUUCCACCCCGAAGGUAAAACAAUAAAAUUCAAUCAAAUAGCCAAUGUACGAUUAUGUUUUCACCGUGAAGCUCAGAUAUCCGAGUGUAAGUGAAUGCAGCAUCGGCUUCUGCACUAUGAGCAUCAGGUUAGCAAAGGUAGGAGAGCCAAGCUCGAAAGAGGCACCGCGGAAAAUAAUUUUUCAGCGAAAGAAAAUGAGGAGAGAAUAAAUGUCCCGGGCCAACCAGUAGAGAUAAAAGAACAGGAAGAAUGAAAAGAUUUCUUCCUUAAGAAGGCUAAAAUACACCCAGAAGCAGAGAACAAUGUCCGCAGUCAUCAUUGUCACCUGUGAGUUCUACAAAUGAAGGUGUGUGAGAGAGAACGAACAAGGAAAAUGCAAGGAAGGGAUGUUCAACCGAUCCAUAGGGGACAAAUCCUAAUAUGUGUAUUGUGCACCUGUUCAUGAUCCACCAGAUAACCAGGAUGCGGUGCCUUUUGAAACAUCAUGUACGACACCGGGCCAUCCACAUGGUCUCCUCCAGCUCAUUGAUCACAGUCUGGACUUUGUCGCUGAACGCCCUCAGAGAGGCGACGCCUUCGCGCAGCUGGUCCUGGAGAACAGAAGGAAGUGACUGCAUGAGGUGGUAACAGCUGCAGGUCAUUC